rnacentral:lncRNA from 1 species
GGGGCAGUCUGCAAUUUUAUAUCCCUUCUGUCCAUAGCUAAAACAAGAACCAGUAUUCCAUUGGGCAAUUAGAAGACUCAUGCUCUCUUCGGCCACGUCUAGCCGUCUCAUUCUCAUGAUUCUUAUCAUUUGCUUGCUUCUUUGCUAGACCCUUAUUGUUCUGAUUUCGUCCUUGAGUUCCACCAAACCUAUUUCUCUUUUUCUGAUUCCGUUCU